rnacentral:rRNA from 1 species
GACGAACGCUGGCGGCGUGCUUAACACAUGCAAGUCGAACGGAAAGGCGCGGCGUUUGCGGGUUUCUCGAGUGGCGAAGGGGGGUGUAACACGCGAGGAACCUGCCCUUGACUGUGGGAGAACUCCAGGAAACUGGGGCUAAUACCGGAUAGGAGCUCCUGCUGCAUGUGGGGGGUUGGAAAGUUUCGGCGGUUGGGGAUGGACUCGAUGCUUAUCAGCUUGUUGGGGGGGUAGGGGCUUACGAAGGCUUUGACGGGUAGCCGGCCUGAGAGGGUGACCGGCCACCUUGGGCCUGCGGUACGGACCAGAAUGCUACGGGAGGCAGCAGUGGGGAAUAUUGCACAAUGGGCGGAAGCCUGAUGCAGAAACGCCGCGUGCGGGAUGACGGCCUUCGGGUUGUAAACCGCUUUCGAAUGUGCCGAAGCCUGAGUGACGGUACUGGGUAAGAAAGCACCGGCUAACUACGUG